ACUCCCCCAAGCUUACACUUUGCUCGUCCCUGAGCAAACAGCUAAACUCAGACGGAUCAGGAGUUGCUUCGAUGUUUUCUUUCCUGACAGGCACACAUGCUUUUACAUAAAAUUCUUCUAGAUUAGAGUGAAGUGUUAUGGAGUUUAGAACCUGCACUUAAGUCUUAAGUAAUCGAAAGACAAAAUAGUUAAGUCAAGCACUAUCCCUCCUGUCUAUACUUCACCUUUGUUCUAGAGUUUUUUAUAAGUUUUCAAAAUAAAACUCAGAGUUCCCAGCAAUGAUUGUCUCAAGUCUCUCUAUAUGUGGUAUUUGUGGAUCCUUACCAUAAUGUCACUUACCUAUAGCUAAUGGGAUAUUUAUGUGGAGCUCAUAGAAGUGAAAAACAGCUCAUACAUAUAUUGUCUAAUCGAGCCAUGGAUCCAAAGGAACUCAGCAUAUAAUUAAAUCAAGAUGUGCAUGUGUGGUGGAGUAAAUGAUAGUGAUGGUGAAAAUGUAUAAGUGUUAAUAAAACUUAGUUCUCAUUGCUCCUCAUAUUGCUAUCUCUCCUCUUCUUUGAUCUUUGCUUUUGGAAAACAUGGGCUAUCUUUUCUUUCUUUUUUCUCUUUUUUUUCAGGUAGGUAGUAGAUACCCCUAAUUCUACUGUCGGACACUUGUCCAUUUUUUCCGCUCAAGUGGGCAUCUUUGUACCCCUAAUACUACUUCAGACACUUGUCCAUUUUUACCUCUCGUCUCACUCUUUAUCGAGGUUCCGGGCACUUGCCCCUUUUUAUUUCCUCGCAUAUUUUUGCAUAACCCAUGCCUCUUCUGCGUUGAAUCUUUUUAGAGAGAGAGAAUAACAAUAUUCGGGACAGUGAGUGAAAAUAUUUUUAGCAAUUUUAAUGAUUGAUGAUGGAUGCUGUGGUAGAUGUGUGCAAGUGAAUAUCUUAAUUUAACCACAUGAAAAGCUCCUAAGGGUCUACACAGCUCGAUCAAACUCAAUGUGAAUAUAGUAAAAGAUGUUAUAGCAAGUAUGGCUGUGGUAGGUAGUUUUGUAUGCUAGGAACUCAUCAUGUGAUUUGUAAGUUUUCAAAAUAAAUCUCCAGAACUUAGUGUAGUAGAAACAGGAUAAACAGUAGCUCAACUUUAUAUCAUGCCUUUCUCUUACCUAGACUUUAGUUUUAUGCUUCCCAAAGAUAGUAAUUUUAGUUUUAGUAAUUCCUGGAAGAAUUCUAAUAUAAAAGCUAGGUACUUGUAAGUAAGCAACAGAGCAAUUGUUCAUCAUUUCCAUCAUGCAUCUUUUUGGUCUUUAUAUUUUUUUUCUAGAGAUUAAACUUAGC
rnacentral:lncRNA from 1 species